rnacentral:rRNA from 1 species
UUGUCUCAAAGAUUAAGCCAUGCAUGUUUCAGUACAAGCCAAAUUAAGGUGAAACCGCGAAAGGCUCAUUAAAUCAGUUAUGGUUCCUUAGAUCGUACCCACAUUUACUUGGAUAACUGUGGUAAUUCUAGAGCUAAUACAUGCAAACUGAACUCUGACCAGAGAUGGAAGGAGUGCUUUUAUUAGAUCAAAACCAAUCGUCGUGUGGAUUCAAUUCUAGAUUAUUUUUUUUAAAAUUUCUAGUUUGAGUUCACCAUCAUAAAAUUUGGUGAUUCUGAAUAACUUUAAGCUGAUCGCAUGGUCUAGCACCGGCGACGCAUCUUUCAAAUGUCUGCCUUAUCAACUUUCGAUGGUAGGUUCUGCGCCUACCAUGGUUGUAACGGGUAACGGGGAAUCAGGGUUCGAUUCCGGAGAGGGAGCCUGAGAAACGGCUACCACAUCCAAGGAAGGCAGCAGGCGCGCAAAUUACCCACUCCCGGCACGGGGAGGUAGUGACGAAAAAUAACGAUACGGGACUCAUCCGAGGCCCCGUAAUCGGAAUGAGUACACUCUAAACCCUUUAACGAGGAUCAAUUGGAGGGCAAGUCUGGUGCCAGCAGCCGCGGUAAUUCCAGCUCCAAUAGCGUAUAUUAAAGUUGUUGCGGUUAAAAAGCUCGUAGUCGAAUUUGUGUUCCAUGCCGCUGGUUCAUCGUUCGCGGUGUAACUGGCGUGUCAUGGAACGUCCUGCUGGUGGGUUUAGCUUUUUUAUAUUUUCAUAUUAAUCUUUAUAAUCUUUCGGGAUUAUUUAAUUGUAUGUUAUAUAAAUUGGCGGCCCGAUUUAAUCCUGCUGCGGUGCUCUUGAUUGAGUGUCGUAGUGGGCCGGCACAUUUACUUUGAACAAAUUAGAGUGCUUAAAGCAGGCUAAAAUUUUGCUUGAAUAUUGUGUGCAUGGAAUAAUGGAAUAGGACCUCGGUUCUAUUUUGUUGGUUUUCGGAAUUCCGAGGUAAUGAUUAAUAGGAACGGAUGGGGGCAUUCGUAUUGCGACGUUAGAGGUGAAAUUCUUGGANCGUCGCAAGACGGACAGAAGCGAAAGCAUUUGCCAAAAACGUUUUCAUUGAUCAAGAACGAAAGUUAGAGGUUCGAAGGCGAUCAGAUACCGCCCUAGUUCUAACCAUAAACGAUGCCAGCUAGCGAUCCGCCGACGUUCUUUAUAUGACUCGGCGGGCAGCUUCCGGGAAACCAAAGCUUUUGGGUUCCGGGGGAAGUAUGGUUGCAAAGCUGAAACUUAAAGGAAUUGACGGAAGGGCACCACCAGGAGUGGAGCCUGCGGCUUAAUUUGACUCAACACGGGAAACCUCACCAGGCCCAGACACUGGAAGGAUUGACAGAUUGAGAGCUCUUUCUUGAUUCAGUGGGUGGUGGUGCAUGGCCGUUCUUAGUUGGUGGAGCGAUUUGUCUGGUUAAUUCCGAUAACGAACGAGACUCUAGCCUGCUAACUAGGCGUAUUUCAACAUCUUAAAGGCCCGCCAAUUUCCUCUGAAAGUUUUUCUUUUAUUUUUUCUUUCGAAAAAAUAAUUGGGGGCUUUUGGGUUAUUGUGCGUGGUUUUUACUGUUGGCGUUAAAACAAAUCUUCUUAGAGGGACAGGCGGCUUCUAGCCGCACGAGAUUGAGCAAUAACAGGUCUGUGAUGCCCUUAGAUGUUCUGGGCCGCACGCGCGCUACACUGAAGGAAUCAGCGUGUCCUCCCUGGCCGAAUGGUCCGGGUAACCCGCUGAACCUCCUUCGUGCUAGGGAUUGGGGCUUGCAAUUGUUCCCCAUGAACGAGGAAUUCCCAGUAAGCGCGAGUCAUAAGCUCGCGUUGAUUACGUCCCUGCCCUUUGUACACACCGCCCGUCGCUACUACCGAUUGAAUGAUUUAGUGAGGUCUUUGGACUGGUACGCGGUAAUGUUUCGAUAUUACCGAUGUUUCUAGAAAGAUGACCAAACUUGAUCAUUU